rnacentral:lncRNA from 1 species
CAUAAAUCAUUCUAAUUAUUUUCGAUAUUUUACCGAAUUAAUACGUGACUAAAGUCAAAUAUUGUUGAGCAAUUUUGACAGACUCAUUUAUUAAGUGAUCAAAUAUUAUGUUAAUGAGUCUAAUUUUGACAUACCCUAUACAGUAGUAUAUUAUGGACAAGUAUAUCCUUAAUUGUGUUAUUUUAGCCCAUAAUGGGAUGGGCAAUUUUGUACUAACACAUGAGGGGUCCCUGCACUCAACCGCUGUAUUUAAGUAACUUCAGCCCAUUGGGAGUUAACUGUUGGGAAAAUCAGUGGCAUGAGUGCAGUGCACCUCUCUCUCUCCCUCUCCCUCUUUUCUCUCCCGUGAGUGUGUGUACAGUAAAUUUUGAAGCAAGCCGAUCCUUGAACUGAGGCAAGAGAAAGGAAUUCAGAAGCUAGAUCAAGCAACUAGCAACUCUCUUGAGGCUCCAUAACAAGCUUUCAAGGUCGGAUUCAUGGGAGAUCACGGUAAUUUUCGAAAUUCCCGAAAAUAUGUGUUUAAUUUAGAAAUGCACGAUUAAGGGCAUAAAGUUUGUUUUUGUUUCAUCAAUUGGUAUCAGAGCCCAUGGUUAUGCGUUUCCUUGUAAACCAUAGUUGUUUUGUUGAAGAAAUCUCACUCAUGGAAUUUUUUUUAUUAUUUUCGGAUUUUUCGAAUUCUUCGAAUUUGGACAUAUUUCCUCAAACGGUUGUUAAAUAAUGCAUGAGUGAUGAUUUUGGAGCAAAGAUAUAAUUUUUUCGUGUUUUUUUGGUGGCCAAAAUCGGGUUGGUAUGGAUGUGGAUGCUGUAAAUGUACUGUACAAUACUGUAGCAACAGCCCGAGGUUGAAGAUGAUGGGACAAUUUCAUUUGGAUCCCUAAAUUUUGUGAAAUGUCACUAUGGCCCAAAAUCUUUGCAAACUUUUUGAAAAGGUCCUUGACCGAGGGUCAACUAUGUAAAAGAUUAGUUUGGUCCCUUGAAUUUUGAGAAAUUAUGGUAUGGCCCAACAGUUUAUUUUAUUUUAUUUACAGUUUGGGCCAAAAGUUUUAAUAGUUAAAACAGUAAACAUAAUUCUGAAAAUUUUUCAUUUUAGUCCAAAAUCCUUUCAAUUUUGGCGAUUUUUCAGAAUUUUAAAUUUUAAAAUAAUCCAUCAUUUAUUGAAUCUUAUGGGCAUAUCAUUUAUAUAUUUUAUUGAGGCAUGUAGAUAUUUUAUUUGAUUUAAUAUCUUGUUAAUUUCAUUUGACAAAAUUUAUUUAGCCUCAAUUUUGUUAAUAUACGAAAUAUAUAUAUGAUGCAAAACUACAAUUUAGAGUGAUUGUGUAUCUGCUUAUCGUAGGACCAAUCAUGAUAAAUUAUUUGAUGUUUUGCAAUUGGUUGUCCAUUUAUAAUUAUGAAUUAUGGAUUAUGCUGCUGUACGGCCAAGGCGGAUGUACGGUACAGCAGGUGGCUUAACAAUUUUUUUUUUUAUUGCGGAAUAAGUAAACUUUUCUAUCACCAAAAUGAAAAGUAUAGCCACAUCUAUCCAAAAUAGAUACAGAUAUCAAGUUUCUCCUAAUAGAAGGAAUAUAAGCCGUAUCUAACAGAUCCAAAAAAUAGCCUGUGGCUAGAUGUAGUCUGACAACUCCUAUGCUUUCAACUUUGGCUGUCACUCCAUUGCCCAUGUGAACUAUCAACUCCCCUUCAUUGGGCUCCCUCCUGCUUCUGAAUUCCUGUAAGGAAUUCGUUAUAUUAAUGGUUGCACCAGUAUCCAACCACCAAGUAUUAGAAGGAACAUCAACUAAAUUAGAUUCAAAGCCUACAAAAGCUACAAGAAUACCUUUCUUUUCCAACCAUGCUUUGAAUCCCCUGCAGUCAGCUCUCUUGUGCCCAGGUUUCUUACAAAAGUGGCACUUUCCCUUAAAGCUCUCAGAAGUGGAACCAGAAGUGGUAGAAGAAUUACCACGUGAAGUUUUCUUUCCAAACUUUUUCUUCUUGAAAAACUUAUUGCUGCCCUUUGAAGAGCCUUUCUUCACACUCCCACUCUCUUGAGUAGUGGCCACCAUGACAGUGUGAGAUUUCCCCUUCUUCAAUGAUUCCUCUUCUUGAACCACAUAAGCAGUCAACUCAGUGAUAUUCCAAGUGUCUCUCUGAGUAUUGUAUUGGCUUCUCAAAUUGCCAAAUUGUGGUGGAAGAGAUUCAAGGAUUUGGAAGACCAGGUAGUCAUCAGGCAAAUUGACAUCCAUGUCCUUUAGCUUCUUAUGGUAACUUGUCAUCUUAAGGACGUGCUCUCUAACCCCAGAAACACCAUCAUACUGAGUAUUAGCAAGCAGCCUCAGAUAGUUACCCUUUUCUGCCUUAUCUACCUUCUUAAAAGUCCUUCCAACAGCUGCCAAGUAAUCUUUGGCCUUAUCACAUGCAGGGAUGCUAUCUCGAGUUGUCCUAUCAAUGGUGUAUUUCAUUGUAUCCAGACAGUGUCUAUUGGAUUCAUCCCAAGCUGCCCACUCUGCUUUUUCAGNN